AAUAGUUUUAUGCCACAUCAGUACUCUUAUCCUGAAUUUCAGGAUUUUAUCCUGAAAAAAAACAAAUCCAAAUUAAAAUACUGAAAUUCAGGAUAAGAAUACUGAUGUGGUAUAAAACUAUU
rfam:Gossypium hirsutum cultivar TM-1 chromosome 21, whole genome shotgun sequence